rnacentral:ncRNA from 1 species
CAAAGAUUAAGCCAUGCAAGUCUAAGUACGAGCUCUCGUACAGUGAAAUUCCGAAUGGCUCAUUAAAUCAGUUAUGGUUCAUUUGAUCGUACAGUUUACUUGGAUAACUGUGGUAAUUCUAGAGCUAAUACAUGCGAGAAGCGCCGACCUCGCGGGAGGCGUGCAUUUAUCAGACCAAAAACCGGCCGCGUCUUCGGGCGCGUUCGCCUUGGUGACUCUGGAUAACUUUGCGGAUCGCACGGUCUAGCACCGGCGACGGAUCAUUCAAGUGUCUGCCCUAUCAACUUUCGUCGGUACGGUAUUUGCCUACCGAGGUUCUUACGGGUGACGGGGAAUCAGGGUUCGAUUCCGGAGAGGGAGCCUGAGAAACGGCUACCACAUCCAAGGAAGGCAGCAGGCGCGCAAAUUACCCAUUCCCGACGCGGGGAGGUAGUGACGAAAAAUAACAAUGCAGGACUCGUUCGAGGCCCUGUAAUUGGAAUGAGUACACUUUAAAAGCUUUAACGAGUAUCCAUUGGAGGGCAAGUCUGGUGCCAGCAGCCGCGGUAAUUCCAGCUCCAAAAGUAUAUAUUUAAGUUGUUGCGGUUAAAAAGCUCGUAGUUGGAUUUUGGGCGCAGGCGGCCGGUCCGUCGCAAGGCGUGUACUGGACGUCCUGGCCUUCCCUCCGGUUCUCCGCCGGUGCUCUUGACUGAGUGUCGGCGGCGGCCGGAACGUUUACUUUGAAAAAAUUAGAGUGUUCAAAGCAGGCUCUCGAGCCUGGAUAAUGGUGCAUGGAAUAAUGGA